ACUUUAUGAAGGAAAUAUGUUGUGCAAAUUUUAUUUAACUUGCAAGCGCACGAAUCUAUUGUAGAAUAGAUCAACGAUGACGAAUGUUGAUCCUAUGAGGAGGUAGAUUUAAUUGAGUGUAGAGUUAAUUUUCUAUGUGCGUGGUUGGAUUUGUGGUGAAAGUGAUUUAGACUAUUCUAAAAUUUAAAUUAGAAUGGCGAGAAUAAAUUAAAGUGAAAAUUAUUAAAAUGAAAAGCUUGGGUCUCUGGAUCUGCACUUAACAUGCACUAUUGGCUUAAUAUUCCUUAUUAGUGCCAAUUAAAUCAUGAGGGAGGUUUCCACUCCUUAUGAACCUCACUCAAAUAAAUAUGAUGAUAAGUGCUUAUCGUGCCAAAUAGUAAUAACCUUGUGUUGAGUGUUAGAAAAUGUAUAUUUAUAAAGGAGAAAACCGUCAUUUUACAUUUCAAGUCUUACUAACACCUUUACUUUUAUGAAUUAACCUUCUUUUGAUUUAAUUCCGUUUGUUUUAUCUUAAUUAAGUAUUUUAUGUAUUUUAGGGGCAUCAUAGUCAUUUCACAAUAAACGAGAGAUCAGAUGGCAAAACGGACAUCACUUUUGAACUCAGGACGGUCGAAAACCUUAGGAGGAGCAUAAAAGGAAAAAUAGCAUUGUUCACAUGUAUGGUACUAUUUAUGUGUACGGUACUAUAUACGUUACUGUUCACGACACUGUUCACAUAGACGGACGAUGACGUGGCAUUGACCGAUGAUGUGGCAUUGACUGAUGAGGUGUCACGAUCCUGUUGGGCUAAAAUUCUUAUGUACUGUUGAUGGUGACGUGGCAGCAUAUCAGUAGACGAAAUAUCUCGUGUACGGUACAUGCAUCACACAGGAUUACUUUCAACCAAACCGCGUUACUAUUCAUCCGGGUCAAACCGUGUUACUAUUCAUCCGCGUGGUCAAACUGUGUACUGUUGACUGAUGACGUGGCGCAAUCCUGAGCUUCCAAACUGUUUUUAAUCCGAUGGCCAUGAUUUACUCCAUGUAUUUAUAAAAAGGGGGCCUCUCCCCCCUAAUUUGAUAUCUCUGAAUCCAUUUUUGGGAUCUAUUUUAUGUAAUUCCUUCUCCAUCUUGUAUUUUCUUCGUAUUUUAAUAAAUUUCCAUUUUGUGAGUGGCUAAUUUUCUUUCAAGCUUGGGUUGAAGGUGAAGUCUCAACAUGUGUCAUGGGCUUAAUUUGGUAAAUUUAUUUUCUCUUCCCCUCUAGUUUUUGUGGAUGUUUUGACUUCUCGUCGACAAAUAAUAAUAAUCUUAUCUAGAUACCGCCUUGGUUACACCGGCUCUCUAGUAUAAGGUUAUUAUUAUUUGGCACGAUAAGCCCUUAGCACCAUAUUGAUUAGAGUGUGGUUCAUGAGGUGUGGAUUCCCCCCUCAUGAUUUAAUUGGCAUUAAUACGGAUUAUUUAGCCCAUGAUGCAUGUUGAUACGGAUCCAGAUACCCAAGUACGUCAUUUCAAUAGAUUUCGCUUCAAUUUAUUCUCGCCAUUGCAAUUCCAAUUUUAGAAUUUAUUAUCGCCAUCUCAAUUCCAAUUUUAGGAUAAUUUAAAUCACUUCCACCACAAUUUCAACCACCCAUUUACAAAAUUAAUUCUACACACAAUUAAAAUCCACCUCCUCGUGGGAUCGACACUCGUCACCAUUGAUCUAUACUACAAUAGAUUCGUGCGCUUGCGAGUACAUUAAAAUUUGCACAACAAGUUUUUGGCGCCGUUGCCGGGGAGGUAAUUUUAAUUCAUAGAAUUAAUUUUUGUGAAUAAUUUCUUUUAAUUGUUUUCUUGUAAUUUUUUUUAUUAAAAAGAAAAAGAAAAAAAAGUGAAUCUACAUUUGAAGGUUAGUAUUUCUUUUCUUUUUCUCUUCUUUAAAAUUUUGUAAUUUAAUUUUCAAUUUAUUUUUCUUUGUAAUUUUUUGUUUAUUUUAUUAAUUUAAUUUUUAGUUAAUUUAUUUUACGUAUUUGUUUUUGUGUAUUUUUAUAGAAAGGUUGUAAUAGCGCAAUAAGGUUAGUAUCGUAAUUUCUCACUCUUCUUUAUUUUUAUUUGUUUUGUUCCCAUCUUUAUUUUUAUUUUAUUUGUUUUGCAUGCAUGGUCGUAGGUCAUUAUUACCUAAUCUUGAACCUAUAGACCUUGAAUUAGAAAAAACAUUUCGCACACACAGGCACAUUAAAAAUAAAUUUGGAAUAGAUUUACAAGCAUCACAGGAGAGGCCAUUUAAGGAUUAUUUCAGUCUUUUAGCUAAUUUGAGCACAUCAUGCAUAAGAUACCCAAAUGUAGCUGCUAAGAGUUUUGAAUUAAAACCUAGUGUGCUACAUUGUCUCCCAACAUUCUAUGGCCUAGAAAAUGAGGACCCAUAUAAUCAUCUGAAUGAUUUUCAUGCCAUUUGUCAAACUUGUAAAUAUGAAAAUUUUUCAGACGAUGAUGUUAAACUCAGAUUAUUCCCAUUUUCUUUAAAGGAUAGAGCUCGUUCAUGGUUAAAUACUUUACCUGCUAAUAGCAUUUCAUCAUGGGAACAAAUGGUAAUAAAAUUUUUGAAUAAAUAUUUCCCAGUCCAUAAAAUCAAUGCUAUUCGCAGGGAAAUCUCAGAGUUUACUCAGAGAUAAGACGAGCAGUUUUUCGAAACAUGAGAGCAAUUCAAUGGGCUACUCUUGAAGUGUCCAUAUCAUGGGUACGAGAAAUGGCACCAAUGCCAAUACUUUUUGGAGGGAUUAUUGCCGAAUGUGCAAGAAUGGCUAAUGGCAACAAGUGGAGGAGAGCUAAUGUCAAAAAGUGCAUCAGAGAUUUGGGAAUUCUUCCAGUGACAAGCGGAUAAUUCCCAACAACGGAGUCGAUCACUCAGGAAUACUAGAAGAAUUAAAGGAGUGAAUGAGGUUCACAUUGGCGAGUCAACUUCGGGAAUCAAAUAAGUCAAAGAGAUGGUUGAAGGUCUUGCUCGACAAAUAGCAUCGUUAUCGACUGCUAAAUCAACAGAACCACAUGACCAUGACUCAUACUCAGAUCAAGCCAAUGCCAUAGGUGUAAUGAGAAAGCCAUCAAAUUACAACCCAUACUCCAACACAUAUAACCCUGGAUGGAGAGACCACCCCAAUUUUUCAUGGUCCCAAGGAAUCCAACAUAAUGGAAGAGCAGCUCCAGCUCCACCAAUGCAACCAAUUCCUCAAAAUCCUCAAGCCUCUCAGCCCCCAUUUAGACCAUACAAUCAAAACCAGAACUACUCACAACCUAGACCAUGGGAGGAUGCAUUCUAGAAUUUUAAGAAUGUUACUCACUCCACGAUUGAGCAACAGAACCGCACCAUUGAUGGACUAUGAAAUGAGUUGAGAGCAUGCUUCAAUUCACAAGCCCAAUCAGUUUCAAGCCUUGAGAAGAUGGUGGGACAACUUGCUUCUUCAGUUCAGGCCUUGGCAAUGAUCGUUGAGAAAGGUAAAUUUCCAAGUCAACCAGUGCCUAACCCUAAAGGAGUGCAUAAAGCAAGUACCAGUUCACCACAGCAGCAUGGAGAGGUCAAAGCAGUAAUGACCUUGCGAAAAGAAAAAGAAGUCGACAACAAAGUGGAGAUGCUAGUGACAAAAGAAAAUCAAAUUGUACCUGUGAAUGUUGAUGAUUCAUCACCAGAGGAGAAAGAAGAAACCAACCCACGAGAAUAUAUUCCCAAAGCUCCAUUUCCUCAGAGGUUAGCUAAAGGAAAAAAAGGGAAAAUCCACAGGUGAGAUUCUUGAAAUCUUCAAACAGGUAAGUGUUAACAUCCCUUUGCUUAAUGCUAUUAAACAAGUUCCAUCUUAUGCCAAGUUUCUUAAAGACCUUUGUACUAAAAAGAGAAAUAUGCAUGUUCAAAAGAAAGCAUUUUUACAGAAAACGUUAGUUCUAUACUCCAACAUAAAAUUCCUUUAAAAUGCAAAGACCCAGGCUCCCCCACUAUCUCAUGUAGUAUAGGGAACCACACAAUUGAAAAUGCUUUGUGGAUUUACGAGCUAGUGUAAAUAUGUUGCCUUACUCAGUAUUUUGAAACUUGGACUGGGNNNNNNNNNNNNNNNNNNNNNNNNNNNNNNNNNNNNNNNNNNNNNNNNNNNNNNNNNNNNNNNNNNNNNNNNNNNNNNNNNNNNNNNNNNNNNNNNNNNNCGUGCUUAUCCAGGUAGAUAAGUUUUAUUUUCCUGUUGAUUUCAUUGUAAUUGACACUCAACCAAUACAGGAUUCAAGGAAGCACAUCCCCAUUAUCCUAGGCCGACCUUUCUUGGCAACUGCGGAUGCUCACAUUCAAUGCAGGACUGGAAAUAUGCAGUUGUCCUUCGGCAACAUGACUAUGGAGCUGAACAUCUUCAACAUUGCCAAACAACCUCACAAUGCCGAUGAUGGAUUUAAUUGAAACAUUAGUUGAUAACACUUUUCUUUCAAACCUUAGUGAUGAUCCUUUACAAACAUGUUUAACUCACUUUGGUUUUGAUUUUGAUAUUGACAGAUCGGUCGAUGAGGUCAAUGCCCUACUUGACUCAGUACCAUCCAUGGACACUAAUAAAUGGAAGUCAAGAGUUGAACAACUAGCAUCAUCAGAGAAGAAACGCAUCCCAUCAUCAGAAUCACCACCGAAACUCGAGCUCAAACCAUUACCCAACACAUUAGAAUAUGCAUUUUUGGGAGAAGAAAGUACUCUACCGGUAAUCAUCUCAGCAUCCCUCAAUGACGAACAAAAAGGUAAGUUGUUGGAUGUUUUAAAAGAGCACAAAAGAGCAUUAGGAUGGACCAUAGCAGACAUUAAAGGUAUAAACCCAGUAGACUGCAUGCAUUACAUUCACCUUGAUGAAAAUGCUAAAACUACUAGGGAGAUGCAACGUCGGUUAAAUCCUAACAUGAAAGAAGUUGUUAGAACUGAAGUCCUUAAGCUAUUAGAUGCAAGUAUCAUUUACCCAAUUUCUGAUAGUUCAUGGGUCAGUCCUGUGCAAGUUGUCCCUAAAAAGUCAGGAGUCACAGUAGUUACGAAUGCUGAUAAUGAAUUGAUACCCACUAGAGUAACUACAGGAUGGCGUGUAUGCAUUGAUUAUAGAAAGUUGAAUUCUGUCACACGUAAAGACCAUUUUCCUUUACCAUUUAUUGAUCAAAUGCUUGAUAGAUUAGCAGGCCAUGAAUUUUAUUGCUUUCUAGAUGGCUACUCAGGAUAUAAUCAGAUUCCCAUAGCACCAAUAGAUCAGGAGAAAACUACUUUCACUUGCCCUUUUGGCACAUUUGCAUAUAGGAGAAUGCCAUUUGGAUUAUGUAAUGCACCUGCUACAUUUCAACGAUGCAUGUUGAGUAUUUUUUCUGAUAUGGUUGAACGAUUCCUUGAAGUCUUUAUGGAUGACUUUUCUGUCUUUGGUGAUUCGUUUGAUCAAUGUUUACAUCAUCUAACACUAGUUCUGCAGAGAUGUAUCGAAAAGAACUUGGUCUUAAAUUGGGAGAAGUGUCAUUUUAUGGUAAAACAAGGGAUUGUUCUCGGUCACAUCAUUUCGAGCAAAGGUAUUGAGGUUGACAAAGCCAAGGUGGAUCUCAUUUCUAAUCUUCCUCCACCCAAAAUAAUCAGAGAAGUAAGAUCUUUCCUUGGGCAUGCUGGUUUCUAUAGACGUUUCAUUAAAGAUUUUAGCAAAAUUUCUAGACCCUUAUGCAAUUUACUUGCUAAAGAUGUACCUUUUAUCUUUGAUGAUUCAUGUCUUGUGGCAUUUGAAAAACUAAAGCAGUUGUUGACAUCAUCACCCAUCAUUCAGCCCCCAAAUUGGAGCUUACCAUUUGAGCUCAUGUGUGAUGCAUCUGAUUAUGCAGUAGGAGCAGUAUUAGGACAAAGAGUUGAUCGAAUUCCCCACGUUAUUUACUAUGCUAGUAUGACAUUGAAUGAUGCACAGUUGAAUUAUUCAACUACUGAAAAAGAAAUGCUAGCAGUACUGUUUGCAUUACAGAAAUUUCGAUCUUAUCUCACUGGUUGUAAAAUAAUUAUAUUCACAGAUCAUGCUGCUCUUAAAUAUCUUCUCACAAAGAAAGAUGCAAAAGCUAGACUAAUUCGUUGGGUGUUACUUUUGCAGGAAUUUGACUUGGAAUUCAAAGAUAAGAAAGGGACAGAAAAUGUUGUGGCGGACCACCUCUCUCGUCUCCAUUUUGACACAAUUACAGAGCCAUUAAUAUUGAAUGAGUCAUUUCCAGAUGAACAAUUAAUGAGUGUGGAAGUAUUACCAUGGUAUGCUGAUAUAGUUAAUUAUCUUGUUACAGGUCAACUUCCAGAGCAUUGGACCAAGCAAGACAAGGCUAAAUUCUUUGCAAAGAUAAAGAAUUUCUUUUUGGAUGACCCGUAUUUGUUCAAGUAUUGUGCUGACCAAAUUGUUAGACGAUGUGUCCCAGAAAAUGAAAUUCAGAAUAAUCUUUCAUUCUGCCAUGAACAAGCUUGUGGAGGUCAUUUCAGUGCUAAGAAAGCAACAACUAAAGUUUUACAAUGUGGUUUUUAUUGGCCAACUAUAUUUCGAGAUGCUUACACUUUUUGUUCUUCAUGUGAUAGGUGUCAACGAAUGAGGAGCAUUACACGAAGGAACAUGAUGCCACUAAAUCCAAUUUUAGUGGUUGAGAUUUUUGAUGUAUGGGGUAUCGACUUCAUGGGACCCUUUCCCCCUUCUUUUGGCCAUCAAUACAUAUUGGUUGCUGUUGACUAUGUAUCGAAAUGGGUAGAAGUAAUUCCAUGUAGAACCAAUGAUCACAAGGUGGUGAUAGCAUUUUUGAAAAGCAACAUUGUUUCACGCUUUGGAUUCCCUCGAGCAAUAAUCAGUGAUGGUGGUGCCCACUUUUGUAAUAAAGCAUUCAAAGCUCUUUUGACAAAGUAUUCAAUCACACACAAAGUGGCGACUCUGUAUCAUCCGCAAACCAGUGGUCAAGUUGAGAUCUCCAAUCGAGAAAUAAAGCACAUAUUAGAAAAAACGGUGAGGCCAGACAGGAAAGAUUGGUCAUUAAGACUCGAUGAUGCAUUAUGGGCAUACAGAACGAUUUUCAAGACCCCGAUUGGGAUGUCACCCUACAGGCUAGUGUAUGGAAAAGCUUGCCACCUACCUGUGGAACUCGAGCAUCGUGCGUAUUGGGCCAUCAAGAAAUUCAACUUUGACAUGCNNNNNNNNNNNNNNNNNNNNNNNNNNNNNNNNNNNNNNNNNNNNNNNNNNNNNNNNNNNNNNNNNNNNNNNNNNNNNNNNNNNNNNNNNNNNNNNNNNNNNNNNNNNNNNNNNNNNNNNNNNNGAAAAUCUUCCACUCCAGGUUAGAAAAUGCUUUUAUUCAAUUCUCGCUUGCACCUAUUCCCAGGUAAAUUACGCUCUCGUUGGUCUGGCCCAUUUAUUGUACAUACUAUUUUUCCACAUGGGGCAAUUGAAAUUAAGGACCCAAAGAACGGUGUCAUGUUUAAAGUUAAUGGUCAAAGAUUAAAGCCAUAUCUAGAAUACCAACCAUAUGGAGAAGACAUCGAAAUAAAUUUGAGUGACCCACCAAAUUUGAAUUGAUUUUUUUUUCUUCGGUGAUUUGAUUUUUUCUUUCUUUCUUUCUUUAUAUUAUUCUUUUCCUAAUUGAAAUUAUUUUUGCAUAAGUGUGUUUGUUUAACUAUUAAGUUUUCUCUUAUCAUUUUUAAUCAUGAGUACCUUACUUAGACCGUUCCUCCUAAACAUUCUUAAACCACUUCAACGUGUCAAAACUCAUCUCAAAAGGCAGAUUCAAUUUUGUAAAACACAUCGCAUUUGGGCUCUACAACCACCAGAGUUAGUCUCCUAUGUUGAGGGUCUAGAAAGCCAACUCAGAGAUAUUGAGAGAAGUGUUUACGAUAUCCAGUUGGAGCUUGAGGUGAAUUCAAUAAGAGGACGAUUUUAAUUUUCUUUGUGUGUUUUAAUUUGUUUUUCUGUUUGUGUGCUUUAGUUUGUUACCCCGGUGAAGUGGCGGAUAACGGUACUCCGUGACAAUCAAGUCGGUUAUUUCAGUUUCCCAUAAUAACUGAUAUUCUGAGGCGAAGGUAUGGACAGAAACGAGAUUCUAGCGAAGCUUCACAAGCGAUUCCCUUCACUUCCUCAGAAUGCCCUCCUUACGAUCUAUAAAGCUCGGUUCGAACGCAUGCGAUUACUCAUGAGGAAUAACAUACCUGCUGACAUCCGUUGGUUAAGCGAGGCUAAAGUACGAUCGGCAGGUGAGUUACCUCCAAAAUUUAUUGCAUACAUGCCUGGUUGUGGUAAAGGAAAUUAUGCAAGAAAACGACGAGCUCGAAGAAUUUCGGUUGCUUGUCAUAAGUGUGCCAGAAUGAGUUGCAAUAAAAACCCAUGUUCUUUAGGAAUGGUGUCUGAUAACAGGGAAGAUAAGAUUCAAUUCAUUAGGGAUGGCUUGAAUAAGGAGUCAUUGGAUGAUAUCCUUUUGUCUCUUGAAACGCAUCCCAGUGGAUAUGUGCAAGGAGCGAUUCUCCAGUUAUGGCCAUUAUUCCAAAAAGAGCAUGCACGAUAUAGUCUCGGGAAUCUGACUAUAAAUGACCCUAUUUGCCAAUUUAUAAGAAAACUGGAUGGGAAUCCUAUCCUCGACCCAUAGAGGGCGUUCAAGCCGUUUCUGGACGUAAAACCAGAGGAAGAUGUGAGCCACAGUCGUAACUACUUGUAAAUAUCCUUUCACUUGACUGUUAUUUUAUUUCACUAUUGUUUUAUUGUGUGCAUUAUUGUCUUUAAUAAUUUUAUUACUGUUUGCUUUUUCCUUUUUACUGUUUUCUUUUUUACUCGCGAGCCACGUGCUUUACGCGUUAUUUGACACUGACAUGUUACCUCAUACACAACUAUGAUCCACUGUCACCAAGAUUCUUAAAUGUGAUUUCUUUUUUGCCAAGCACUCACAAAUUAUUUUUGAGAAGUAUCACAAUGACAGCUACUCCAAAUAGACAAUUCAAGAACAUUUGUAUGCUUUCUAGAUUUACAUAUGGCAAACAUAAAAAGUUCGUUGAGGCAGCCAUCGAUCUUGGUCAAAGUAUAGCAGAGAGAAAAUUACACUUGGUGUAUGGAGGAGGUAACCGAGGGUUAUCAAAAAUGGUCUCAGAAGCAGCUUUUAUCAAAGGCAGCCAAAUGUUAGGCAUCAUCCCAAGAGUUCUAAAACCAUUGGGCAGUUCGUCUGACUCAUCAACUGGAGAAGGUUAGUCGUCUCAGGUAUGCAAGAAAGAAUAACUGAAAUGCUUAAUCAUGCUGAUGCUUUUAUUUUCCUUCCAGGAGAUCUUGCAACACUAGAGGCACUUAUCACGCUAGCAUCUUGGGCCCAUCUGCACAUCCACCAGAAACUCAUCGGUUUGUCAAAUGUCAAUAACUUUUAUGAUGGCUUUAUCGCAUUUCUUAACCAUGCAAUAAAAAACUAUUUCAUUCCUUCUAAUGUGAAAAGACUUUUUAUUUGUGCUCACACUGCUAAUGAGCUACUUGAUCUGUUACAAGCUUAUAAACCGGAGCCAGACCCCUGGACCUUUGUGUUGGAGCGCCCAAAUAAUGAUGGUAACAGUAGCCACAGUAAGAAGUACAAAUUAGAUUUAACUCUUCGCUUGUAAAUAUUUUCUUUUGUGUUGCACCACCCAGGCGAUGUCUUCUAAACUCUACUUCUUUCCUUUCAAACAUUGAGGACAAUGUUUCGUUCUGGUUGGGGGGAGGGAAUAGUCGACAAUUGUAGAAUUUUGGUUAAGUUUUUACUAAUUUUUUUGUUGUAGAAACUAACUGUUGCUAACUUUUUGUGUUGAAAAUGGCUGAAUAUGGAGGGUAGUGACUCUAGAAACGCAUCUUCAUCGUUUUAAAAAAAAAAUUAAAAAAAAAAUUAUUUUUCUUUAUUAAGUUUUGAUGUUCAUUUUUCUUCUUCUUUUUAAUUUCUCCUCUAUAAAUAUACAUUUUCCAACUUUUGAGUCGAAGAUAGCUGAAUAUGGAGUGUAGUUCCUCUAGAAACACAUCUUUUUUUUAAAAAAAAAAAACCAUUUUCGUUUUCUAUCAUUUUAUGUGUAACUUUUCUAAUUAGUUUUUAUGCAUCAUUUUCACAUUUUUGCAUACAUAUUUUCCUUUCAUGCUUAGAAUAGAUUGGGGGGUAAAAUGUUGUUUAAAAAUAAAAAAUUUGUGUGAUUUGUUUUAAUAUUGGAUGACAUGAUUAAUUUCAAAUUUUAGUAUUUGUAUUAUCUUUGGUCUUAAGUGAUGUUACGUUAUGUUUGCUACUCUACAUGUUGAUGUCGGAGACAAAUGUGAGUUGCUUGAAGGAAUGAACAUGUCAUAAUAAGUACCAAGUGAGUUUUUGAGCCUAUUAUUUUUCUUGGAGAAUAACCAUUUUGCCCACUCUUUAUACAGCUUAGCAUUUUAUUAUUUUACACACGAUCUCUAAAUUGCUUUUGNNNNNNNNNNNNNNNNNNNNNNNNNNNNNNNNNNNNNNNNNNNNNNNNNNNNNNNNNNNNNNNNNNNNNNNNNNNNNNNNNNNNNNNNNNNNNNNNNNNNCACUUCUUUAUUAUUUUCUCUCUCAAUUACUAUUCAUUCGAGUGACUAUUUUUAUUGGUUUUAAUUUCUUUGUGAGAGUGUCACUACUUCCAGUGAGAUUUUGGGGUUUGACAUGUCAUUAUUGAAAGUAGCUAUAACAAGGUCUACUGGGCUGAUUCAUGUGGAUGGUUGAUGUGGGUGUGAUGUUGCUUUAGACUGGAGAUAAUGCUUAUACUUUUAUUUGAUUGCUAUCAUUAAUCUGAUUGAAUAAACACGAGUGUUUCUAAAUUAAAAAAAAAAUCAUUUUGAAUUUGAAUUUUGUUUUCGCUUCAUUUGCUAGGGACUAGCAAUAAGCUGGGUGGGGGGUGUGUUGAGUGUUAGAAAAUGCAUAUUUAUAAAGGAGAAAACCGUCAUUUUACAUUUCAAGUCUUACUAACACCUUACUUUUAUGAAUUUAACCUUCUUUUGAUUUAAUUCCGUUUGUUUUAUCUUAAUUAAGUAUUUUAUGUAUUUUAGGGGCAUCAUAGUCAUUUCACAAUAAACGAGAGAUCAGAUAGCAAAACGGACAUCACUUUUGAACUCAAGACGGUCGAAAACCUUAGGAGGAGCAUAAAAGGAAAAAUAGCACUGUUCACAUGUACGGUACUAUUCACGUGUACGGUACUGUAUACGUUACUGUUCACGACACUGUUCACAUAGACGGAUGAUGACGUGGCAUUGACCGAUGAUGUGGCAUUGACUGAUGAGGUGUCAUGAUCCUAUUGGGCUAAAAUUCUUAUGUACUGUUGAUGGUGACGUGGCAGCAUAUCAGUGGACAAAAAAUCUCGUGUACGGUACAUGCAUCACACAGGAUUAUUUUCAACCAAACCGUGUUACUAUUCAUCCGGGUCAAACCGUGUUACUAUUCAUCCACGUGGUCAAACCGUGUACUGUUGACUGAUGACGUGGCGCAAUCCUGAGUGUCCAAACUGUUUUUAAUCCGAUGGCCAUGAUUUACUCCAUGUAUCUAUAAAAAGGGGGCCUCUCCCCCCUAAUUUGAUAUCUCUGAAUCCAUUUUUGGGAUCCAUUUUCUGUAAUUCCUUCUCCAUCUUGUAUUUUCUUCGUAUUUAAAUAAAUUCCCAUUUUGCCCCUAGUUCAAUUAUGAGUGGCUAAUUUUCUUUCAAGCUUGGGUUGAAGGUGAAGUCUCAACAUGUGUCAUGGGCUUAAUUUGGUAAAUUUAUUUUCUCUUCCCCUCUAGUUUUUGUGGAUGUUUUGACUUCUCGUCGACAAAUAAUAAUAAUCUUGUCUAGAUACUGCCUUGGUUACACCGGCUCUCUAGUAUAAGGUUAUUAUUAUUUGGCACGAUAAGCCCUUAGCACCAUAUUGAUUAGAGCGUGGUUCAUGAGG
rnacentral:lncRNA from 1 species